GAGUUUGAUCAUGGCUCAGGACGAACGCUGGCGGCACGCCUAACACAUGCAAGUCGAACGGAGAUAUUUUGGUUUACUGAGAUAUCUUAGUGGCGGACGGGUGAGUAACACGUGAGCAACCUGCCUCUGAGAGAGGGAUAGCUUCUGGAAACGGAUGGUAAUACCUCAUAACAUAACGAAGCCGCAUGACUUUGUUAUCAAAGAUUUACCACUCAGAGAUGGGCUCGCGUCUGAUUAAAUAGUUGGUGAGGUAACGGCUCACCAAGUCGACGAUCAGUAGCCGGACUGAGAGGUUGAACGGCCACAUUGGGACUGAGACACGGCCCAGACUCCUACGGGAGGCAGCAGUGGGGAAUAUUGCACAAUGGGGGAAACCCUGAUGCAGCGAUGCCGCGUGGAGGAAGAAGGUUUUCGGAUUGUAAACUCCUGUCUUAAAGGACGAUAAUGACGGUACUUUAGGAGGAAGCUCCGGCUAACUACGUGCCAGCAGCCGCGGUAAUACGUAGGGAGCGAGCGUUGUCCGGAAUUACUGGGUGUAAAGGGAGCGUAGGCGGGAUGGCAAGUCAGAUGUGAAAACUAUGGGCUCAGCCCAUAGACUGCAUUUGAAACUGUUGUUCUUGAGUGAAGUAGAGGUAAGCGGAAUUCCUGGUGUAGCGGUGAAAUGCGUAGAUAUCAGGAGGAACWUCGGUGGCGAAGGCGGCUUWCUGGGCUUUUUACUGACGCUGAGGCUCGAAAGCGUGGGGAGCAAACARGGAUUAGAUACCCUGGUAGWYCMCGCUGUAAACGAWUGAUACUAKGUGUGGGGGAAUGACCCCUUUCCKUGCCGCAKUUAWCCAWUAAGUAUUYCACCUGGGGAGUA
rnacentral:rRNA from 1 species